AUACGAAGGGUGCAAGCGUUGUUCGGAUUUAUUGGGCGUAAAGCGCGCGCAGGCGGAUGUGCAAGUCAGAUGUGAAAUCUCGGGGCUCAACCCCGAAACUGCGUCUGAAACUGUUCAUCUAGAAUCUUGGAGAGGGAAGGGGAAUUUCACGUGUAGGGGUAAAAUCCGUAGAGAUGUGAAGGAACACCAGAGGCGAAGGCGCCUUCCUGGACAAGUAUUGACGCUGAGGCGCGAAAGCGUGGGUAGCAAACAGGAUUAGAAACCCUAGUAGUCC
rnacentral:rRNA from 1 species